GAGCAUCGAUUUUUUUUUUUUUUUUUUGGUUUCCCUUCCUUUUCACCUGCUUUUGAUUCUUCGUUUCUUCGGAUAGUAGCAGGCCGACAAGAUUUUUGUUUGUGGGUGUGAGAUUCUCCGGGUUCGAUUCUUUGUGGAAAUUGUUUUCUAGUACGGCUCAGUUAGUCACCUUGAGAAUUUGAUGUGGUUGAGCAAAUUCAAAGUUCACAGGGGA